CCGAUGCACACACACACAAGCUGUGCAGACACACAGGCCCAUAGGUACACACACAGACACAUGUACACAAGAGACCUAGUCCCUUGGAAUAUGCUGUCUCCAUGCGGGCAACUCCUUUCCUACCUCCUUCUCUUCAUGCAUUCUGGUGUCCAACCAACUGAUGAGUCAGUCCCAGCGAUCAUGGGGUCAUCAAUGGGGCAGGGAUCUUCUCCCACAGUGAGCUGAGCCCUGCUGCACUAGUUGGCAGAAGGGCAUGAUCAAAGGAGGGGAGAGAGUGUCUCCUUGAGCUCUGCAGAUCAGAUCAGCUGCAGGGCCUGGCACACAUGGGGUGUGGGUGUUGGCAAGCUGGGAUGCGGUGGAAAAGGGUCAGGGCCCCAAGGAGGACAGGAAGGACCUGAAAGCUCAGCCUGAAGAAGAAGAGGUUCAGGGAGGGUGAGAUGGGAUGCUGGCCUCUGAUGUUCAAUGGCUUCCCUCUGGAAGAGUCAGCAUGCUCUGGGCUCCACAUGUAAUAGAUGCGGGCCACAGGGAGGCCAGAGGUGGGAGGAGAUGCUUGGAAUGCAAAGGGGUGCUCUGGGAGGGGUGAGCUCCUGUACCUGGAAGUGUUGGGGCCAGAGACCACAAAAGGCCCUCCCGAGGCUCUGUCCUGGGUGUGGCUGCUGGUACAUGCUGGGAGACUCUCUCAUCCAGAUCAAGCCAAGAGUAUAGGCACGGCUGGGCCCUGAGACCUGGAGGUGAGCCCUGUGAUGUAUGACCUACCGAAAAGGGAACUGCUACCGCUACAGAAGCAGGUACUACUGGGCCUGGUUGUGGCUUUGCUGGGAUCCCAAGAAAACUCUUUCCCUCUCUGGGUCCAAGUUUCCUUAUCUUCGAAUGGGGUCACAGCUAUGUUGAAGGGCUGGCACUACCACACAGCACCUAGCAUGGUGCUCGGCUUACUACUGGCCCUGCAGGCCCUUGAGAAACCUGCGCUUCUGUUCCUUUUCUGGUGCCUCUGGCCUCCUCUCCCAUUUCCUUAGGGCUCUGGGGACACUUGGCAGCAGAAAAGGCUGGAGCAGAAAACCUCUCACACGAUAUCGAUCUGGCCAGCCCUGGACUCCAGACCAUGGCGUGUGGGAUGGCGGUACAGCCGCCUCCUUGGCUCCAGUUUUUAUGGGGUUUGAAAGAUCAUCACUGACCAUCGAGACAGGAUGUCUGCCUCCUGGGCCCUCCUCUUAACUUCUGCUGCGUUCCCUGAUUCCCACAUCAGUCCUGGGAAACCCCCCAUUCCCAGGUCUGACCCUGGGAAACCAAGGGGUGCCUGCAAGGUUGUCAGCUCUCCAUCCCGGUCCUCCCUCAGCCACAUAUCUUGCAUUUACAGAAUCCGACCUGGCUGAACCAACACCCCUCCCUCCCUCAGGGUACACUGGCUGGUUUAGGGUAUCAGGAACUGGGGCCACUGGGACAUGGGCAGGGGUCCCAGAGGACAGCAAGAGGCCACCAGGAGAGAUGGAGCUUUAGAGCUCUGGAGACCGCAGACCCAUCUUGGGGUAAGUCAAUCACUCAACCAAUCAAUUAACUGACCUGAAAUAUACGUACUGAGCACCUACUACAUACGGGCUCUGUACUUGGACCUGUGCACUAACAAUGUGUUUGUCUCAUGGCACUCCGGGUCUCAUGGGAGCAGGAAAAGCAUAUAAAGAAUCAGCAACUAUAUAAUCACAGUGUGAUUGUGCACUGGAGCAAGGGGGCUUUAUGCAGCAAGAGUUUCUAAAUGGAUCUGGAUGGUCUGGGGAGAGCAGAGGAAGUAAUCCCCUAGGAAGGGACAUGUGUUGAAUGUCAGAAUCCAAAGACUGUCGGCAAGAGCAAGGCGCUGGGUCUGUAUGUGUGAAGCCCCAGCACAGUAUCUGGCCACUGGAAGGCCCUCGAUCAAUGUUUGCGGAGGGAGUGAGGUGGCUGCAAGCUCUCCCCCAUGAAAUUGUUCAGGACCCCAGCGUCCUUCAGUUUCAUCGCUCUGCCAUCCUCAGUAUGUGGUCCAUUAUGGCUGCCCAGCUCCUGCCAUUACAACUGCAUUCUAGUCAGUGAAAAACAGGAAGGGGAAGGUGAGGGCAUGCCGUGCUGUUUAAGGAUGUGGUACAUUUACAUUAUAUACAUUGUUUCUGUUCAGUUCACAAUAGCCAAAACUGUCACGUGGCUGCUCGGAAAUGCCAUUUUUAUGCGUGCAGCCGUGAGUCCAGCUAUACUUCUGGGGACGUGGUAGUAAAGGAGGAGAGUCUUGGGAAAUUCCUGAUCCAUAUUCCAACAUGUGCUGGAGGGAAAGAUUUAAGAGUUACAUUAGAUACCAUACGGAGGGGGUAUCUGCACAGCUCGAGUGCCCCUCUUUCAUGGGAAGGGCCUGACGCAUAGGGAUGGCUGCCCGGGGCCCUGUCAGUGUAUCGCGAUAUCUUGACUACUUCCUCUAGUCAUACAGCGGACUGGUCCAGGGAUGAGUACGUGACUCGAGUUGGGUCAGUUCAAAUGCCCAUCUGGACUGCAGAAAGAAAGAGAAAGCGUCUGGGGUUGGGGUGGGUGGCUGCAUGGACUUCUCUCUGCUUGGCCUCUGUCCUGUGCUUACUCCCUUGCAAGGUCAAUCUGCCCAUUCCCCUGUAUCUCAGGCACAGAGGCGAGGCCUGGGGCUGCAGGGCAGAGCUUCCUACGCCCCAUGCGUGGAGUCCAGAGACUGCAGAGAGAACAGCUUCAUUCAUGGGGCUACCCAGAUUAGAUGGUGGACCUCUCAGGGUGACCCUGAGGACAAAGGACUGGAUGACCAGGUGGGCCUGCCUCCAUGCCUUGGUACUAUCUAAGCUCCAGGUAUUAGAUACAACCUAAAGUUUCUUGCUAGUGCAGUAGAGAGGGUUGUGUGACGUAGAAAAUAAACAGACAUAGGAAGAUUGCUGUGCAUUUGCAGGCUGUGAGUCAUCCUGACACAGAGGCAUUAUAGACAGAGGAGGGUCGUGGGUGGAAGCAGGGGAACACUGCUGUGUAAGGAGAAGGGAAGGAGGGGAGGAGAGGGUCCUAUGAAGAAGACAGAGGUCUCAGAGAGGAAGAAGGAGGACGUAGAAGAUGUUUUGAUGAUCAAGGAAGGUUAGAGUUUCUAGAAGGAAAGAAUGGCGGGUCAACAGUCCAGCCCCCACCUUAGGAUCAAAUUGAGUGUGCCCCAGAAGAAGGUCAUUGAAUUGGCCACAAAGAGAUUGUCCUUGUCCUUUCUGUGGGGUGUGGGGGAGGGGGUGAGAGCGACAGCAGCAGUGGGGGGCAGGAGGCUGAGGAAGUGGCUUAGCAUGUGUCAGCCUCAUGAAAGUCUCAGGAUAUUUGUAGAGCUGGUGAACCGAUAAGUGGGUGGGAAGUAGACAGCUCUGAAGACCCUGACCCCCACCCACCCCAAUCAACGUGUUUUCCUGGGUUUACUCUUUGCUUCCGUUAGUCACUUUGGCCAAAGUUUCUCCUGCAUAGACAUAGGGAUGGGGAGGGCACAGGCCAGGAAGGAAGGAGAUGGUGUCCCAGAAAGCUGAAGCCCCCAGGGGCAGCCUUUUAGAAGGAUCUUCUGAUACCUAACCUGGAUCAUUCCUGCUGCAGUAUCAGCAGGUGUCAGCUGAGGAAGGAGAAGCCUUCUGUGAAUAACAGUCCUUCAGAGGACUAAAAGCAGCUGAACUCUAUCCCAAGAGGAGAUAAGAGAGGUGGAAAUCAGGUGAGAGCCGCAGCCGGGUGGAAUUCAGGGCAGUGUCGGUGCUCUGUGUGUGCUGGUGCUGGGUUCCUCUUCUCCGAUUCCUGCUCCAGGAUCUCACCCUCCCCAGCCUCUAAUAACCCCAAAUCCUGGAUUGGUGUUUGGGAGGCUGUGGCUGCGCCAGGUAAACAGGGCAGGCCGGGAGCCACAGCAGACGCUGGAGGGAGGGAGUCGGGCCUUCCACUGCAUGGGUAUUUGGGACCCACAGGAAGGGAAGGCAGGGGAGGCUGAGUUCCAGGUUUCUCUCUUGGGGUCUCCUCUCUCCUGUUUCCACUCUCCCCCUGUCUCCCUGUUCAGCGCCCCCUCCGCCCCUCCUGUCCGCAUUUCCCCUCUUCCUUCCCUCCUCUGUCUCCUCGUUUCCCAUCUCAUCUGCCUCCUGUCUCCCAGGCAGCCUCCCCCAGCCCCCACCCCGCUGAUGCACUUGUAGGCAGGGGGUUUCGGCUGGAGCUGCUGCCCAUGGUCCUCAGGGGAGGAUGGAGACCUCCCUUUUCAACAGCCUCUGAAAACAGGAGGGGCCUAAACAUGGGGUGGGGAGAGCUAAGGCAGGACCCUGGGAGGUCCAGACGGGCAGGGAUUCUGUCACCCUUUGGUUUUCUUCCCUACUGCUGGGCCUGUUAAAGCAAAGCUGUCACGGGCUGAGGCUCCCUCUAGUGGCCAACUUGGGGAACUGCCGCCACUCAUGGCCUUCCUCUAAGAGGUCACAGUGGGCCUCAGGCUGAACCAAUUGAUCAGGGGCCUGAGAGGCACAAUUAAUAGACAGCUGGAAGCCGACAGUCUCCAGGCACUUAGAGGCAGGCUGCUUAUUAAAAGCUUCAGUAGAGUGGCUAGGAUGGAGACCCGCAGUUUCCGUUCCCAUCGUCAGUCAUCCCUCCUGGCGGAUUGGAGCUGGUCCAGAUUUUCUCAAUGGCCACCACUCAGGUGGUCAGCAGGGGCAGGAGACAGAGAGGCCAUGGUUCCAGGGUGUGACUCAGUGGAGGGGGCACUGGGCACACUGGGGCCUAGGCAAGAUCCUUCCCCUCUCAAAACCUGCAUGUCCCAUUCUUUACCAUGGGCCUUUAGGACCUGGGUUUCUCUGGGCUGCCUUCUCACAGCCCUGCAUGGCCCAUGCCCUAGUGCUUACUCCCUGGGUCUGCGAGGCCAACCUGCCCAUUUCCCUGCAGCCGGCCUGCUACUCAUCCUCUCCAUGAAGCCGGGAGGGCAGGUGAGCUCCUCUCCCAUGGCAGACAGUGCAGUGUUCAGUUCCAUUGGACCUUUUGGGUGAUUUGACCUCCAGAAUUUCUAUUCCACUCACCCUUGCUCCUCUCCUUCCAUGUGACCACAUUUCUGGAGGUUCCAGCCCCCGUGGAGAUGGAAGCAGUUGCACCCCAUCCUCUGGGAUCUGGGUCAGAGAACCUGAAAUACAGGCAUCUUUAUUUCCCAGGCUCAGUUAUUGGACUUCCCUCUUUUUCAAAGUCCAUGGCCCCCACAAAAAGAGUGAGCAUGAGCAUCACCUUUUCUCCAGGGACACCCAGGCUCUGACUUCACAGAACUGUCCCAAGUCUCUAUGAAAGUGGAACUCAAUCUGACUGAUGGAAAAUAAAAUUAAAAAGUAAAUAGGCCUCUUUUCCCUAAAAGGAGUGGUGAUAGGUGCUUCUGCGGAGGUGAUAUCAAAGCACUGAGAAGCCUAUUGGAAAACAAAGACAGUCAAACGCCCUCCUUUACCUAUAUGCAGAGCAUGGGGGCGGAGUGCCUGGCAGAGCAGGAUUUGCCUUCACGUCCAUCCAAGAUGGGCCCAAGUGUCAGCUUUGCUAGUUCCUCACUCAUGUGGUCUGGGGCAAAUUAUUUGACCUUUUGGUGCCUCAGUUUCUUCAUCUAUAAGAUGGGACAGUAAUAACUAGCUGACAAAGUUACGUGGAUGUUCAUGAUUCUGUGUGGAGAAUACAGAGCCAGUGCUCAUGUGAAAUGGUGUGAGGGAAGUAACAUUUACAGGCUGUCUAUGACAGUGUUGGGCCCUGCAUGAAAUACACAGGAUAUCACUUACAAAAAACUCAAAAGGGUGGCUGGGAUCACUCCCAUUUCACAGAUUAGAAAACCAAAGUCCAGAGAAGGUAAGUAGCAACUCUGUCAAUAAGUGCCAUGUAAGGACUCGAACCCAUCUGUAUCUGCGUCGGAAGACUUUGGGCUUAUCCAGAACGGUGUUGAUGGGGUGGAGGCAGGUGCAUGCUGAGGGCCAGGUCCUGAGAUGGCAGAAGUCCUUGUGAGAUCAGAUAAGAGUGGGACAGGAGGAGGGGCAGCAAGGAUAGGCCUUAGAGGAGGCUCAGGGCCCGUGACAUCUUGGUGACCGCCAGUCUCACUGCACAGUUAGCAGGUGAGGCAGUUGACAGCAUUGGCCCCGGCAAAGAUCCAGUGACAGAGAAUCUAGGACAGUCACCAAGAGGCGGACGAGGGGUCUCCGGACUGCACUGGGGGGAUUUCCAGGGCCUGGGCCCCGGCUGCACAGGGAAGCAGCAGUGCCACCUGAAGUGGGGAUGAGGGGGUGGGAGUGAGGGCCGGCAUGCGGCCUUCCUGACCAGCCCAGGGCUGGAGGAGGCCCCGAGACAGCACUGGGGGGUGGUUGCCUCAGUAGCUUUGAAGGGGCUGGGGAUGCCCCUAGUUCAAUAGGAGAAAACCUCAAGGGGACCCGUUGGGGGAAGGAGAAGCCUAGGGCCUGAGUGAGCCAGAUGCCCGGCUGUGGCCCACGAGGCCAGUCACCGAGUGCAGAGCCCCCUCCUUCGUUUAGAAAGUAGAGUGGGGAGGCCACCUCCUUCGUGGGUCCGCUCUGGUCCUGGGCGAAGACCAGGUUUUAGGGAUGGCCGCUGCAGAGGCAUUGGAAGGGGGACGUCGCCCCCUUGUGGCUGCAUGGCUGUGGUGCAGAGGACGUGCCGGUUGCUACCUCGGGCCUUGCAGGUUGAUGGAACACUUGAGCUGGUGAACCAAGUCCCAGGCAGGGUGCACCGGAGCCAGAGGGGCGGCUUCAGGAUUUGCUGCAGGGAGCGCGGCUUUCUCUGGAGAUACUGUGGGUCUCUAAAGGUCCCAGGCACACUGCAAUAGCAGCGAUAGUGGAGACUGGAAGAACUAAAGGACACGUGCUGAACUCCCAGCUCCAGCCAGGCCCUGGGCCAGCCCUGGGGAUGCAGGGUGAGCAGGACACCGUCCAGACCCUCCAAGUCCAUGCAGGAGUCAGACAAGAGACCAGGAAAGAUGCCGUCCCCCUUGCUGGGAUGGAGGCAUGGUGUUAGUGCCAUUGCCAUUUCUCCCUCUGGAAGGAUUCCUGAGUGAUCCCCUGGCCUCUCGCCUCACCCUGCUCCGUCUUUUUCAUGUCAGGCUGGGGAGUUGGAAGGAGAAAUCCAGCAAGUCGGCCAGCUCCUUCCAUCUUCCUCUUCCCUCCGCCAGCCCGUUCCCAGGACGUUGGCAUCCCAGUUUCCUCCCUGCCAUCCGGCGAGGGGCCUGCCUGUGAGGGGGGGCCCUUGAUUGUCCUGCACCUAUCAUCUCUGGGAUGGGGGUAGGGUGUUGGUACAGAAGCAAGCUCUAGUGGCCCGUGAUCUAAAGUCACGUUCUCCACUCAGCUCUGUCACUAAUAUUUUGAUUUUAAUCUCCCUGACUUUUGGCUGAUAUCUCAAUAGUUUCUGAACUCAGGCAUGGGAAGGCUCCUCUAAAGCCCCAGAAUGGUGGUUCUCAAUCAGAGGUGGUUUUGCUGCUCAGAGACCAUUUGUCACAAUGCUGGGUGGGGAGGGGUGUACUACCAGCAUCUGGUGAGUAGAGGCUGAGAAUGCCAAAAAAAAAAAAAAAAAAAAAAAUCCUAAAAAU